rnacentral:rRNA from 1 species
UACAGAGGGUGCAAGCGUUAAUCGGAAUUACUGGGCGUAAAGGGCGCGUAGGCGGUUGACUAAGUCGGAUGUGAAAUCCCUGGGCUUAACCUAGGAAUUGCAUUUGAUACUGGUCGGCUAGAGUGUGGGAGAGGGAAGUGGAAUUUCCAGUGUAGCGGUGAAAUGCGUAGAUAUUGGAAGGAACACCAGUGGCGAAGGCGACUUCCUGGACCACUACUGACACUGAGGCGCGAAAGCGUGGGGAGCGAACAGG